GCUUAGAAGCAGCCACCCUUGAAAGAGUGCGUAAUAGCUCACUGGUCAAGUGAUUGUGCGCCGAUAAUGUAGCGGGGCUCAAGCACACCGCCGAAGCCGCGGCAACGCAGCAAUGCGUUGGGUAGGGGAGCGUCCUGCAUCCGGUGAAGCCACGGAGUGAUCCAGUGGUGGAGGGUGUGGGAGUGAGAAUGCAGGCAUGAGUAGCGAUAAGGCAAGUGAGAACCUUGCCCGCCGAAAGACCAAGGGUUCCUGGGGCAGGCCAGUCCGCCCAGGGUGAGUCGGGACCUAAGGCGAGGCCGACAGGCGUAGUCGAUGGACAACGGGUUGAUAUUCCCGUACCCGUGUGUGAGCGCCCAAUGACGAAUCAUCGGUACUAACCGCCCAAAAGGUGACUAACCGAGUCCUUUUAGGACAAGGGGGUCGCCGGCUGCGCGGGACCUUCGGUGGUAGUAGUCAAGCGAUGGGGUGACGCAGGAAGGUAGCCGUACCAGUCAGUGGUAAUACUGGGGCAAACCUGUAGCGCGAGAUCCAGGCAAAUCCGGAUCUCUUCAUGCGUGAGAGGUGAUGCAUAGCCGAGUGAGGCGAAUUCGGUGAUCCUCAGCUGCCGAGAAAAGCCUCUAGCGAGCACACACACGGCCCGUACCCCAAACCAACACAGGUGGUCAGGUAGAGAAUACCGAGGCGUACGAGUGAACUAUGGUUAAGGAACUCGGCAAAAUACCCCCGUAACUUCGGGAGAAGGGGGACCCCCUGCGGUCAAGGCCCACGCGGCCGGCAGCGGCGGGGGGUGGCACAAACCAGUGAGAAGCGACUGUUUACUAAAAACACAGGUCCGUGCGAAGUCGCAAGACGAUGUAUACGGACUGACGCCUGCCCGGUGCUGGAAGGUUAAGAGGACCCGUUAACCCCUCGGGGUGAAGCGGAGAAUUUAAGCCCCAGUAAACGGCGGUGGUAACUAUAACCAUCCUAAGGUAGCGAAAUUCCUUGUCGGGUAAGUUCCGACCUGCACGAAUGGCGUAACGACUUCUCAACUGUCUCAACCAUAGACUCGGCGAAAUUGCACUACGAGUAAAGAUGCUCGUUACGCGCGGCAGGACGAAAAGACCCCGGGACCUUCACUAUAGCUUGGUAUUGGCGUUCGAUACGGUUUGUGUAGGAUAGGUGGGAGACUAUGAAACUCACACGCCAGUGUGGGUGGAGUCGUUGUUGAAAUACCACUCUGAUCGUAUUGGACUUCUAACCUCGAACCGUCUAUCCGGUUCAGGGACAGUGCCUGGUGGGUAGUUUAACUGGGGCGGUUGCCUCCUAAAAUGUAACGGAGGCGCCCAAAGGUUCCCUCAACCUGGACGGCAAUCAGGUGUUGAGUGCAAGUGCACAAGGGAGCUUGACUGCGAGACUGACACGUCAAGCAGGGACGAAAGUCGGGACUAGUGAUCCGGCACCCCCGAGUGGAAGGGGUGUCGCUCAACGGAUAAAAGGUACCCCGGGGAUAACAGGCUGAUCUUCCCCAAGAGUCCAUAUCGACGGGAUGGUUUGGCACCUCGAUGUCGGCUCGUCGCAUCCUGGGGCUGGAGCAGGUCCCAAGGGUUGGGCUGUUCGCCCAUUAAAGCGGCACGCGAGCUGGGUUUAGAACGUCGUGAGACAGUUCGGUCUCUAUCCGCCGCGCGCGUCAGAAGCUUGAGGAAACCUGUCCCUAGUACGAGAGGACCGGGACGGACGAACCUCUGGUCCACCAGUUGUCCCACCAGGGGCACCGCUGGAUAGCCACGUUCGGACAGGAUAACCGCUGAAAGCAUCUAAGCGGGAAACCUUCUCCAAGACCAGGCUUCUCACCCAUCAAGUGGGAUAAGGCCCCCCGCAGAACACGGGAUCGAUAGACCAGACCUACACACCCCGCAAGGGGCGCAGGGAACUGGCACUAACCGGCCGAAAACUUACAACA
rnacentral:rRNA from 1 species